rnacentral:rRNA from 1 species
AAGUCGAAUGGUAACAGGAAACAGCUUGCUGUUUCGCUGACGAGUGGCGGACGGGUGAGUAAUGUCUGGGAAACUGCCUGAUGGAGGGGGAUAACUACUGGAAACGGUAGCUAAUACCGCAUAACGUCGCAAGACCAAAAAGGGGGACCUUCGGGCCUCUUGCCAUCAGAUGUGCCCAGAUGGGAUUAGCUAGUAGUUGGGGUAACGGCUCACCUAGGCGACGAUCCCUAGCUGGUCUGAGAGGAUGACCAGCCACACUGGAACUGAGACACGGUCCAGACUCCUACGGGAGGCAGCAGUGGGGAAUAUUGCACAAUGGGCGCAAGCCUGAUGCAGCCAUGCCGCGUGUAUGAAGAAGGCCUUCGGGUUGUAAAGUACUUUCAGCGGGGAGGAAGGGAGUAAAGUUAAUACCUUUGCUCAUUGACGUUACCCGCAGAAGAAGCACCGGCUAACUCCGUGCCAGCAGCCGCGGUAAUACGGAGGGUGCAAGCGUUAAUCGGAAAUUUACUGGGCGUAAAGCGCACGCAGGCGGUUUGUUAAGUCAGAUGUGAAAUCCCCGGGCUCAACCUGGGAACUGCAUCUGAUACUGGCAAGCUUGAGUCUCGUAGAGGGGGGUAGAAUUCCAGGUGUAGCGGUGAAAUGCGUAGAGAUCUGGAGGAAUACCGGUGGCGAAGGC